rnacentral:rRNA from 1 species
CGCCUCUUGAAUCAAUAUAAGAGGUCCAGCCUGCCCAGUGACCCUGUUCAACGGCCGCGGUAUCCUAACCGUGCGAAGGUAGCGUAAUCACUUGUUCUUUAAAUGAGGACUAGUAUGAACGGCAUCACGAAGGUUAUACUGUCUCCUUUUUCUAAUCAGUGAACCUAAUCUCCCCGUGAAGAAGCGGGGAUCUAAUUAUAAGACGAGAAGACCCUAUGGAGCUUAAAACAACACAGCACUUGCUAAAAAACUAAACAAUUUCAGAAUUUUCAUUUUCUAAGCAACAUGACUGUAAGUUUUUGGUUGGGGUGACCACGGAGUAUAAUAUAACCUCCAUGUUGGAAGAAUUUUAUUCUAAGCCAAAAAUUACAUUUUUAAGCAUCAAUAAAUUGACAUCUAUUGACCCAAUAUAUUUGAACAACGAACCAAGUUACCCUAGGGAUAACAGCGCAAUCCACUUCAAGAGCUCCUAUCGACAAGUGGGUUUACGACCUCGAUGUUGGAUCAGGGUAUCCCAGUGGUGCAGCCGCUACUAAAGGUUCGUUUGUUCAACGAUUAAAACCCU